rnacentral:rRNA from 1 species
CCUACGGGAGGCAGCAGUGAGGAAUAUUGGUCAAUGGACGAGAGUCUGAACCAGCCAAGUAGCGUGAAGGAUGACUGCCCUAUGGGUUGUAAACUUCUUUUAUAUGGGAAUAAAACGUUCCACGUGUGGGAUUUUGUAUGUACCAUAUGAAUAAGGAUCGGCUAACUCCGUGCCAGCAGCCGCGGUAAUACGGAGGAUCCGAGCGUUAUCCGGAUUUAUUGGGUUUAAAGGGAGCGUAGGUUGAUUGUUAAGUCAGGUGUGAAAGUUUGCGGCUCAACCGUAAAAUUGCAGUUGAAACUGGCAGUCUUGAGUACAGUAGAGGUGGGCGGAAUUCGUGGUGUAGCGGUGAAAUGCUUAGAUAUCACGAAGAACUCCGAUUGCGAAGGCAGUUCACUGGACUGCAACUGACACUGAGGCUCGAAAGUGUGGGUAUCAAACAGGAUUAGAUACCCCAGUAGUC